UAAUAAGUGUUUUAUGGCACUUUUUAAAUCCAUAUCCACCUUGUGUGCAAUGUCAGUCGAUCUUCUUCAUGGAGAUCGACCAAACAUCAACCUUUAUUUUUUAACUCUUUGUCUGAAAAAUAUUAUGAAUAAACAAUUCAAAUA
rnacentral:misc_RNA from 1 species